UACGAAGGGGGCUAGCGUUGCUCGGAAUCACUGGGCGUAAAGCGCGCGUAGGCGGAUUGUUAAGUCAGGGGUGAAAUCCUGGAGCUCAACUCCAGAACUGCCUUUGAUACUGGCGAUCUUGAGUUCGGGAGAGGUGAGUGGAACUGCGAGUGUAGAGGUGAAAUUCGUAGAUAUCAGGAGGAACACCGGUGGCGAAGGCGGCGACCUGGUCCUAUACUGACACUCAUACACGAAAGCGUGGGGAUCAAACAGG
rnacentral:rRNA from 1 species